AUAGCCCUGUCAAGUCUCACCCAACCCCGGGUGAGUAGUACGAAAAACUCUAGGGACCCCUAUCCUACAACCCUGAUACUAGGCCUCCAGACUUUCCUACCAAGGGCCAUGUCCUCGGAAACCUGCAUAUAGCCAUGUCAUGCCUAAUCACCUCUCCCCAAUACCUCUUAGGCCUCCCUCUGCCUCGCCGUACGCCGACCAUCGCUAGCCGCUCACAACUCCUCACCGAGGCAUCAAGACUUCUCCUCCGCACAUGCCCGAACCACCUCAGCCUCGCUUCUCGCAUCUUCUCAUCCACUNNNN
rnacentral:lncRNA from 1 species